ensembl:lncRNA
UUAAGUAAAAUAUGCAAAAUAUAAUAUUGUAGAAAUAUAAAGUGAUAGACUGAGACUGCAGUUUCACAUUUUGCAUCUGCAUAACAAAGUGAAUUAUUUUAAACAUGCAAUAAUUAGAAAUAAAACCAAACAAGAUCACAUCUCUUGCACGUCUCACCCAGCAGCAUGUGUGCCGAACACACAAAAUCUUGCUCUCUGUAGGCCAUGCAUGCAGAACAGACAGCGACAAGAGUUAUUUGACACACAUAAAAGGUUUAAAUAAGAUAAUAUUGACAAUGAACAUUAUAUGACAUUUAAAAAUAGUUUUGGUGAUUUGUCCUACAGUCCGCCUGUUCUUACCCGUACAGCAAAAGCGGGCUAAAUCUUGUUAAGUGUUAAAUUUCUAAAAUGCUAUUAGAAUGAAUUCAUUUCUAAAAUAUUAUAAUACAGAAAGCAUGAAAAAGAUCACAGCAGUAGACCUUUAUCAGUCAUCAGCAAUGUAGUAAACACGUGUGCUGGUAUGCAUAUGAUUUAAUAUGAAGCAUCCGUAACGGUCACGUCCGUAAUGCAUUAUUACCCGUAGGAAAAAUGUAUUGCUCAGUGGUUGCUCUUUCUAACCUCAGGAGACUUAGUUGUGAUUCUCAUGUAUUUCUCAUUUUAGUCUCAACAGUGUCUCAGAUGUUUCUCAUAAAAAUCCUUAGGAGAAAUAAUAGUAGACACAACUGAGACAUGAGAAAGUUCUGAAAGAAAGGAAUCCUAAAUGACAAUGAGAGAGAAACGUGUGAGAAACAUGGGAGAUCUCUUUACUGUCUCGCUGUAAUCUCUUGAAAGACUCCAUUAUAAAAAAUAUUUUACUGCUCAGAGGUUGCUGUUGAUUUAUUUUAUUUCAAUGGGGUUUUUCACCUUUAAUGCUGAGGACAGGUGGAGUAGAGACAGGAAACAACUGGACAGGUGAGAAUUGAACAUGAGCAAGAAAGUAAAUUAGCUGGGAUUCAAACCCAUGUUGUCUGAGGUGCAGUUGUGCUUCACGUCUUGAGAUAUCAGCUUUGUCUUCAGUUUUAUUUUACGAG